CUGGAAGAGAAGGAUGUAGGAGCAUGUACACAGAAGGUAGCUAUGACCAGGAUGGCUUCUCUGCAAGUCUGUGACCCCAAGGUCCUCACCAGCUCCCCGGAGCAGCUCGGUUCUCACAGAUCCGUGUAGGAGUACUGCUUGUCCUGAACCGCUGUUGUCUUUCCAGUAUCUUAAGUUUUUUCACUCUCAUUGCCCACCUGCAACUCCGAUUCUAUUUCUGAAGGAUGGUAGAAGGCUUAAAUC